rnacentral:misc_RNA from 1 species
GGGGACGUGCUUAUGCUUUUACAGGUACAUCAAUAUUCUCUCUUUUUCUUUCCUAUUUUCUGACAAAUAGCUGUUUGGUUUUGCAUCUGCUGGACAAAAUUCAGACUUUCACACCCCCACCACAAUCCACCACCACCCCACAAACAACCAAUUUUCGCUAUUGUUUACUUUCAACUCCAAGAGAAUUGAUUCAUUCUCAGAUUCAGAUAACUCUGAAUUAAUACGUAUAAGAUAUUAGCCAGUGAAAGCAAAAUGUCUCUGACUUGCAUAAACUUUCCCAUUUCAAUUAUUUGAUUAUGAAAUUUCAAUAAUUUUCCAUGUUAGAAUUGUUAUUCCUUGAAUAAGUUUCAAUAGCUGGAGUUAUUUGGUAGUAUUAUUUAUUGUGUUAUUGCAUACAUAUUCUGCAAGCCACUUGCAGUUGUAAAUUAUUGAUUUAUUUUCUGGCUUCCAGCGCAUUAAUGCCAUUACAAAAUAAAUAAUAAAUUCAAUUUCAAAGUCGUUCAAUCCAUGAAGAGAAAAGGACAAAUGAACUGUUGAUUAUCCCCGGACUGUUGAUUAUCUUCAUAUUGAUUGGUUUAAUCCUUAUGCAGAGAUUAAGAUCUUGGCAGAUA